rnacentral:rRNA from 1 species
GUAGAGUUUGAUCAUGGCUCAGAAUGAACGCUGGCGGCGUGCCUAACACAUGCAAGUCGGAUGUGCCGCAAGGUGCAUGGCAGACGGGUGAGUAACGCGUGGGGAAUCUACCUUUUAGUGGGGAAUAACGA